AAAACUUUCAACAACGGAUCUCUUGGUUCUGGCAUCGAUGAAGAACGCAGCGAAAUGCGAUAAGUAAUGUGAAUUGCAGAAUUCAGUGAAUCAUCGAAUCUUUGAACGCACAUUGCGCCCCUUGGUAUUCCGAGGGGCAUACCUGUUCGAGCGUCAUUACACCUCUCAAGCCCUUCGGGCUUGGUGUUG
rnacentral:rRNA from 1 species